rnacentral:lncRNA from 1 species
UUUUUUUUUUUUUUUUAGUCUGAACCACUAUCAGCUUCAAUUGCACUAGUUAUCUAAUCAGACGUGCAACCUUCUAAAACCAAAGAAAUGAUAAUUACAAACGUGACUUGUCUUCAUGGGUAAAAAGAAUUUUACUCAUACCAGACAACCUGAAAGCAACUUAGGCCUCGUUUAACUAUUAAAAAAGCAAAGUUGUCCCUUUGGGAACGCUGAAGGAAAUGAAACGUUUUCAUGAAGGGAAAGGAAAUAUGAGGGGAAGUAGUUUCUUCCAAAAUCCAAAAUAAACAACUUUCUUAUCUCAUUUUCUUGCAUUUAGUACUCACAACACAUUAUUUUAUUACACUAUUUAACAACUGUCUGGAUGAGUUGUUUUACGUCACCAAACAUCGCAAUAGAAGGUACUCGGGAAUUGUCGUUUCCCUUCUUGUAGGAAAAACAAAUGAAUUACUUUCAUUUCAACGAAACAAAUGAGACCUUAGUGAAACUACCUUAAAGUUCAACCAGCAUGAAAGUAAAAUUGUAACAAACUACGACCGAAAGGGUUAAGAGAAACUCAAACACUAGCUUAUUCUAACACAAGGAACCACCAUACGCAAAUGGGGGUCACCCAAGGUUGUCCUUUUCAACCACCAUCGCUAAAGCCACCAUAGCAAGGAAUGAAGCCUAAUCCUAAGAGAAGUCCCCCAACAAAACCUUACCCCAACAUGAACACCAAGCCUAAAAGAAAACCCAAUACCAUUAAGGGCACCUAUAAAGUGAUAAAACUGGGCACCCUAUCGUCCUUCCCAUAGUCGAAACCUCAACAGUGCAAUCUUCCUCAACGAAGGCACCCCCGCCUAGACCUCCAACCCCAAAGCUUGAUGGAGAUUGAGACCACUACCAGCUUGUAAUCUGCCACCAUACCAACCAACAUAUCCGGAAACCCUGAACAGUUGCCCAAAACAUAGAGCCCGACAAUAGGGUAGCAAGGGUUCGACUGGUGGAUUCGACAACACCGCAACUUGUUAAACAACGACAAACAUGACCCGUAAAUCAUCUUGUACCAAUGUAUUAUAUACAAUUACGCCCCAAACCCGAACUAAUGUGACACCUCUGACUUCACCCCUCGACACCUAGCGCUCACCGCCGCCAUCAACAAUACCAUCACUUGCAACUUAGAUAAGUACUGCCUAGAUCCCUUCCAUCACGACUCCAUAUCCACUCAAAAUGCCAAUUCUCGCUCUAGAAUCUCCUCUUUGUCGAAUCCCGAAGCCAUCCCUCCACCAGCGAAAUUGACAAGGCCAAGAAGACAUAGGUUAAAGCUGGCCUAGAAUGAUCUCCCCAUGAACAAGGAAUUCGCCUGCGCCACCACCCCCGAACGAGGUGGUGCACCCCAAGCCCUAGAUCUCUUCCAUCGCAACAACUCCAUAUCCACUCAAAAUGCCGAUUCUUGCUCGAGAAUCCCCGCUUCGUCGUAUCCCGAAGCCAUCCCUCCACGGGCGAAAUUGACAAGGCCAAAAAGACAUAGGUUAAAGCUGGCCUAGAAUGAUCUCCCCAUGAACAAGGAAUUCGCCUGCGCCACCACCUUGAUCGAGGUGGUGCGCCCCAAGCCCUAGCAUAGUAGGUAUUUUCAUUUUCUCUGUUUUUCUUUUUAUAAUGGAUUGUUGAAAAAGUAAUGUCUAUUAACGUACGUACGUAUGAGAUGUGAAGCAAGCCGGUAGAAAGUAAUGGCAACAGAAAAAUCUGAAUGAUAUGAUUUCAUGAGGAGAUACUAGGUCUAAAUUAAUGAUCACUUUAAUGUAUUUGAAAGCUAUGAUAUGAUGCCCCAUAUGACUUGUUUGCGCAUCAAGUGAUUCAUAUCAUAGAUAUAAUUAUAACUCUCCACGUGAUUGAAACCUAAGUUUGAUGAUUUGUUAAUGACAUUUGAUAAUGUUGUCAAUUUCUUAUACGUUAGUGGAAGAGUCUUUAUCUUGUCAUUGAUUAAACUCUAAUCACUCUCUCCAUCUACAUCACGAGCAAUUAGUGCUUCCAAACUUUGAAUUUGUAUACUAAUCGAUGAUAUGUAACAUAAGUCAGAAGACACCAAUCGAAUCCGAGCAGUAU